rnacentral:rRNA from 1 species
CACGUAGGGCGCAAGCGUUGUCCGGAAUUAUUGGGCGUAAAGAGCUCGUAGGCGGACUGUCACGUCUGCUGUGAAAAGCUGGGGCUUAACCCUGGCCUUGCAGUGGAUACGGGCAGACUAGAGGUAGGUAGGGGAGAAUGGAAUUCCCGGUGUAGCGGUGAAAUGCGCAGAUAUCGGGAGGAACACCGGUGGCGAAGGCGGUUCUCUGGGCCGUAACUGACGCUGAGGAGCGAAAGCGUGGGGAGCGAACGGG